rnacentral:rRNA from 1 species
UGCAGUCGAACGAUGAUCCCAGCUUGCUGGGGGAUUAGUGGCGAACGGGUGAGUAACACGUGAGUAACCUGCCCUUGACUCUGGGAUAAGCCUGGGAAACUGGGUCUAAUACCGGAUACGACCAUCUGGCGCAUGUCAUGGUGGUGGAAAGCUUUUGUGGUUUUGGAUGGACUCGCGGCCUAUCAGCUUGUUGGUGGGGUAAUGGCCUACCAAGGCGACGACGGGUAGCCGGCCUGAGAGGGUGACCGGCCACACUGGGACUGAGACACGGCCCAGACUCCUACGGGAGGCAGCAGUGGGGAAUAUUGCACAAUGGGCGCAAGCCUGAUGCAGCGACGCCGCGUGAGGGAUGACGGCCUUCGGGUUGUAAACCUCUUUCAGUAGGGAAGAAGCGAAAGUGACGGUACCUGCAGAAGAAGCGCCGGCUAACUACGUGCCAGCAGCCGCGGUAAUACGUAGGGCGCAAGCGUUAUCCGGAAUUAUUGGGCGUAAAGAGCUCGUAGGCGGUUUGUCGCGUCUGCUGUGAAAGACCGGGGCUCAACUCCGGUUCUGCAGUGGGUACGGGCAGACUAGAGUGCAGUAGGGGAGACUGGAAUUCCUGGUGUAGCGGUGAAAUGCGCAGAUAUCAGGAGGAACACCGAUGGCGAAGGCAGGUCUCUGGGCUGUAACUGACGCUGAGGAGCGAAAGCAUGGGGAGCGAACAGGAUUAGAUACCCUGGUAGUCCAUGCCGUAAACGUUGGGCACUAGGUGUGGGGGACAUUCCACGUUUUCCGCGCCGUAGCUAACGCAUUAAGUGCCCCGCCUGGGGAGUACGGCCGCAAGGCUAAAACUCAAAGGAAUUGACGGGGGCCCGCACAAGCGGCGGAGCAUGCGGAUUAAUUCGAUGCAACGCGAAGAACCUUACCAAGGCUUGACAUGAACCGGAAAGACCUGGAAACAGGUGCCCCGCUUGCGGUCGGUUUACAGGUGGUGCAUGGUUGUCGUCAGCUCGUGUCGUGAGAUGUUGGGUUAAGUCCCGCAACGAGCGCAACCCUCGUUCUAUGUUGCCAGCGCGU